CUGUUAACUAAAAUAUCGUGGGAUCGAGGCCCACCUUUCUAG
rnacentral:tRNA from 1 species